CGGCCUUGCCCGGCCCUGCCCCGCCGGGGCGGAGCGAAGCGGAGCGGGGCGGCCCGAUCGCCUUCCCCGGCCCCUCGCCCGCGGCGCCGACCGAGCCUCUUCCGGGCAGCGGUGCUAGGGGCAACGCGGAGCGGGCAGCCGUGAACUUUUGAAGAUGUCAUCAGAUAUACCAUUAAAUAUUAAUAUCAAGGAGCCCCGAUGGGAUCAAAGCACUUUUGUUGGACGAGCCAAUCACUUCUUUACUGUAACAGACCCCAGGAAUAUUUUGUUAUCUGAUGCCCAGCUAGAAAAUGCAAGAAAAAUUGUGCAUGAUUACAGACAAGGUAUCGUGCCACCUGGCUUGACAGCAGAUGACUUGUGGAAAGCAAAAUACAUCUAUGAUUCAGCCUUCCACCCUGACACUGGUGAAAAGAUGGUCUUGAUUGGCCGAAUGUCAGCUCAGGUACCCAUGAACAUGACUAUCACAGGUUGUAUGAUGACCUUUUAUAGAACGACACCAGCUGUGGUUUUCUGGCAGUGGAUUAACCAGUCCUUCAAUGCCAUAGUGAAUUACACAAACAGGAGUGGUGAUGCCCCAAUCACUGUCAGCCAGCUGGGAACAGCCUAUGUUUCUGCUACCACGGGUGCUGUCGCAACAGCUUUAGGACUUAAUGCACUGACAAAGCAUGUUUCACCUCUUAUAGGACGGUUUGUUCCUUUUGCUGCUGUUGCUGCUGCUAAUUGCAUUAAUAUUCCUCUAAUGAGACAAAGGGAACUCAAGUUUGGAAUUCCAGUCACGGAUGAAAAUGGAAACAGAUUGGGUGAAUCAACAAAAGCAGCCGAGCAGGCAAUUACCCAGGUGGUUAUAUCAAGGAUUCUUAUGGCUUCUCCUGGCAUGGCAAUUCCUCCCUUCAUAAUGAAUACAUUGGAAAAGAGAGCCUUUUUAAAGUAACCACUAAAGAUGCCAUAAAGACAUCUGGAAAUUAAAUCCUAAUUCAUCGGGAACUGCCUUCUUCGGGAGCUAAAGGAUAGUUCUCUAACACAGUAAAUUCUUCUCCUGCAUUCUACUUCCUUUCAUCUCUUUGUGGGGAUGUACAGCUUGCAUUUGAGCUUUGCUUUAUUGUUUUACGUUGUGCCUUAGGCAACACUAGUAUUGACCUCCCAGUGUUAAAGAGUUUCUUUUCACCAACUUUCUUGGCUAGUACAGCCCAGUAACCUUCUGGAAAAUAAAAACUGUAACUCUGAUGAUACAUCUUGGCAAAAAAAUGUGCCACCACAUGAAAUAGAUGUCGUUUAUAUUGUUUCUACUAGCAGGCAGUUCUCCCUCUCUCCAAGAUUAGUGACUCACUCUGAUAAAGGCAUGAAAAUAUAGAUUACUUUUAUGAGACUCUCUAAAAGUCCUUUCAGUUAUAAAAUCAUGUUUGGGGCUUUUUUGGUAAUAAAUCUCAGGUCUCCAGCUUGCACUGCAAUGUGCAGCAUCCCUCUCCAUGCUCCUCAGAAGUCAUUUGCAGCACAGAGUUUGACUUGAGUUCUCAAAUACUGAUGUCAGUCUUAAUCCCUUGCAUGGUCAGUCACACCAUCUCUUCUGUCUCCCCAUGUAUCAAAUGUAAAGCAUUUGGAGUGAAUUUAUCUCAACUGAGGAUCAACAGAAGGUGUAUUCAGUGGAAUGCCAGAACAGCAGAACACUGCUUUGUUCACUCCUUACUUUUCUUGCUGGCGCUGUCUUUCUCCAUUUGUUAUCUAUGGUUGCAGGUUGUUGCUGAAUUGCACAGUUCUUCCUGCAGUCAUAUUUGGAUUACAGAUUGACCAGCAGUAGAACAAGGGGACACAGUCUCAAGUUGUGCCAGGAGAUUCCCUUGGAUGAGUGCUCCCAUUCAAGUUGGAUUAGUUGGAUUCUG